CUUAUAAAACCGCAUUAAAACUUUUUAAAAUGCCUUGUAAAUACCUAAUAAAUAUUAAUGGCUUGUAAUAUAUGUUAUUUUAUAUAUCUACAUAUACAUUUUUGCAGCCAUUUUGUGAAAUAAAUCAUAGAGUUGGAACUUAUUUACAAAGAAUGCCAUUAGCAU
rnacentral:sRNA from 1 species